rfam:Gossypium raimondii Chr05_contig_1057, whole genome shotgun sequence.
AAACCAUGAUAUGGACACUUAUGCAGCAUUUACUAAAAAGGUUCCCAUGCCUUAUAUAAUAACUCUCCUUCCAAUUGCCUAAAAUUUGUAAUAUCCGUACAAAGUUU